AGCGAACGCUGGCGGCAGGCUUAACACAUGCAAGUCGAACGGGCUUCUUCGGAAGUCAGUGGCAGACGGGUGCGUAACACGUGGGAACGUGCCCUUCGGUUCGGAAUAACUCAGGGAAACUUGAGCUAAUACCGGAUACGCCCUUUUGGGGAAAGGUUUACUGCCGAAGGAUCGGCCCGCGUCUGAUUAGCUUGUUGGUUGGGUAACGGCCUACCAAGGCGACGAUCAGUAGCUGGUCUGAGAGGAUGAUCAGCCACACUGGGACUGAGACACGGCCCAGACUCCUACGGGAGGCAGCAGUGGGGAAUAUUGGACAAUGGGCGCAAGCCUGAUCCAGCCAUGCCGCGUGAGUGAUGAAGGCCUUAGGGUUGUAAAGCUCUUUUGUCCGGGACGAUAAUGACGGUACCGGAAGAAUAAGCCCCGGCUAACUUCGUG
rnacentral:rRNA from 1 species